rnacentral:rRNA from 1 species
CAAGUCGAACGCGAAAGCCCCUUCGGGGGUAAGUAGAGUGGCGUCCGGGUGAGUAACACGUAGGUAAUCUACCUCCGGGUGGGGAAUAACGUCUCGAAAGAGACGCUAAUACCGCAUAAUGCAGCGGCACCUAAUGGUGAAUUGUUGUUAAAGCGGGGGACCCUUCGGGGCCUCGUGCCUGGAGAGGAGCCUGCGGCAGAUUAGCUAGUUGGUAGGGUAAUGGCCUACCAAGGCGACGAUCUGUAGCUGGUCUGAGAGGACGGCCAGCCACACUGGCACUGACACACGGGCCAGACUCCUACGGGAGGCAGCAGUGGGGAAUUUUGGGCAAUGGGCGCAAGCCUGACCCAGCAACGCCGCGUGAGGGAGGAAAUCCUUCGGGAUGUAAACCUCACAAGCAAGGGAAGAGCGCGACGGGGUGAAUACCCCCGUCGUCCGACGGUACCUUGCGUAAGCCACGGCUAACUACGUGCCAGCAGCCGCGGUAAUACGUAGGUGGCAAGCGUUGUUCGGAAUUAUUGGGCGUAAAGGGCGCGUAGGCGGUUUGUUAAGUCAGCUGUGAAAGCCCGGGGCUCAACCCCGGAGGGUCAGCUGAUACUGGCAGGCUAGAGUACAGAAGAGGUAACUGGAAUUCCCGGUGUAGCGGUGAAAUGCGUAGAUAUCGGGAGGAACACCUGAGGCGAAGGCGGGUUACUGGGCUGAUACUGACGCUGAUGCGCGAAAGCCAGGGGAGCAAACGGGAUUAGAUACCCCGGUAGUCCUGGCCCUAAACGAUGGAUACUUGGUGUGUCGGGUCUUCAAGUCCCGGCGUGCCGGAGCUAACGCGUUAAGUAUCCCGCCUGGGGAGUACGGUCGCAAGGCUGAAACUC